rnacentral:rRNA from 1 species
UACGGAGGAUCCGAGCGUUAUCCGGAUUUAUUGGGUUUAAAGGGAGCGUAGGUGGAUUGCUAAGUCAGUUGUGAAAGUUUGCGGCUCAACCGUAAAAUUGCAGUUGAAACUGGCAGUCUUGAGUACAGUAGAGGUGGGCGGAAUUCGUGGUGUAGCGGUGAAAUGCAUAGAUAUCACGCAGAACUCCGAUUGCGAAGGCAGCGUACCGGCGCCAGACUGACGCUGAGGCACGAAAGCGUGGGGAUCGAACAGG